rnacentral:lncRNA from 1 species
GUUGACAGUGUCCCGACCUAUGGUUCGAGUCCCGAGAAUUGUGGUUUAAAGCUGUGUACCAAAAUCCAAAAAGUUGGAUUUUUGGUCAGCUCUCGGGUGGCCUUCAGCAGGCCGUGUACCGGUACGGGUUCACUUGCUUUACCGGUACGGGGUUGAUGGUUGUACCGGUACGUGGUUGUGUACCGGUACACAGAGCAUUUCCCAGCGAACCCGAGGCUCGGGUUUGGCAUUUCGUGGGCAGUGUACCGGUACACAAACCCGUGUACCGGUACACAGUGCAGAGCGGGCUGUUUUCGUGGAGGGGUGUUUUUGCAAUUGUUGCAACACCUAUAUAUAACACCCCAGCCCCUUUGUGAGCUCCUUUGAGCCCUAGACCAGUGGAGAAAAGGUGAGAACUCCUCCCCUAUGGUUUCUUCUCCAUUUUUGUUAGGUUUUUGCUAGUUUU